AUUGAACGCUGGCGGCAUGCCUUACACAUGCAAGUCGAACGGCAGCACGGGUGCUUGCACCUGGUGGCGAGUGGCGAACGGGUGAGUAAUACAUCGGAACAUGUCCUGUAGUGGGGGAUAGCCCGGCGAAAGCCGGAUUAAUACCGCAUACGAUCUACGUAUGAAAGCGGGGGCCCUUCGGGCCUCGCGCUAUAGGGUUGGCCGGUGGCUGAUUAGCUAGUUGGUGGGGUAAAGGCCUACCAAGGCGACGAUCAGUAGCUGGUCUGAGAGGACGACCAGCCACACUGGGACUGAGACACGGCCCAGACUCCUACGGGAGGCAGCAGUGGGGAAUUUUGGACAAAGGGCGAAAGCCUGAUCCAGCAAUGCCGCGUGUGUGAAGAAGGCCUUCGGGUUGUAAAGCACUUUUGUCCGGAAAGAAAUCCUUGGCCCUAAUACGGUCGGGGGAUGACGGUACCGGAAGAAUAAGCACCGGCUAACUACGUG
rnacentral:rRNA from 1 species